UUCACUCACCAGUGGAUUCAGGGCUGAUUUAAAUAGACAUUAUCCCUGCGGUUAUGGAGGAACCAUACCUGGGAGUAUCACCAAUCAACGCUGUAACAGCAGUGAUGGCAGAAACAAAAGUCAUGUUCGACUUAAUGACCAACUAAUACCAAAACCAACGGACAUAAAUAUAGCG